GACGAACGCUGGCGGCGUGCUUAACACAUGCAAGUCGAACGGAAAGGCCCUGCUUUUGUGGGGUGCUCGAUUGGCGAACGGGUGGGUAACACGUGAGUAACCUGCCCUUGAUUUUGGGAUAACUUCAGGAAACUGGGGCUAAUACCGGAUAGGAGCUCCUGCUGCAUGGUGGGGGUGGGAAAGUUUCGGCGGUUGGGGAUGGACUCGCGGCUUAUCAGCUUGUUGGUGGGGUAGUGGCUUACCAAGGCUUUGACGGGUAGCCGGCCUGAGAGGGUGACCGGCCACAUUGGGACUGAGAUACGGCCCAGACUCCUACGGGAGGCAGCAGUGGGGAAUAUUGCACAAUGGGCGGAAGCCUGAUGCAGCAACGCCGCGUGCGGGAUGACGGCCUUCGGGUUGUAAACCGCUUUCGCCUGUGACGAAGCGUGAGUGACGGUAAUGGGUAAAGAAGCACCGGCUAACUACGUG
rnacentral:rRNA from 1 species